rnacentral:rRNA from 1 species
UGAGGAAUCUUGCGCAAUGGGGGAAACCCUGACGCAGCCAUGCCGCGUGGGUGAAGAAGGCCUUCGGGUCGUAAAGCCCUGUCAGGAGGGAAGAACCUCCUUCGGUCGAACAGGCCGUAAGGACUGACGGUACCUCCAAAGGAAGCACCGGCUAACUCCGUGCCAGCAGCCGCGGUAAUACGGAGGGUGCAAGCGUUGUUCGGAAUUACUGGGCGUAAAGGGUGUGCAGGCGGCCGGAUAAGUCCUAUGGGAAAUCCCUGGGCUCAACCCAGGACGUGCAUGGGAUACUGUCCGGCUUGAGUCCCGGAGAGGGGGGUGGAAUUCCCGGUGUAGAGGUGAAAUUCGUGGAUAUCGGGAGGAACACCAGUGGCGAAGGCGACCCCCUGGACGGAGACUGACGCUGAGACACGAAAGCGUGGGGAGCAAACA